rnacentral:lncRNA from 1 species
CUUGGUUUUUACUAAAAAAAGAAUUCAGCUGUAAGAACAAGACUACCAAUGAAGGACAGUGAGAGAGAAUAGUGUUCUACAAAAUGGCGGACCGUUAUCACAGCUACAGUAUUUGUUAGACGUGCUGCUUUAUCUAUUGAUAAAAUGAUAACAUAAAGCACUGCACAAAGAAUUGUUGAAGUUAUUAUAAUGUAACUAUAUAUAUGUAUAAGUAUGACUAAUUGCACAUAUGAGUAAACUAGGCAUUAGGCUUAAAAUUAAGGUGAGGAAUUUUUGAACAUUCCGUGUUCUAGAUUAUGGCCUCAAAUCAGAUAUGAAGUACAGUCGCACUAGUCAUAUAAAUUAAAACAAUAAAGGAUUAAUUGCUAAACCUAUUCCGAAUACCUUACUUCUAAGAUCAAUCAUCGUGCUUAAAAAGACACAAUAACCCUUUUAAAUAUUCUAGAAAACUGAUGGUUAAAGGAUCGCGAGGUCCAUUGUAAAAAGGAGCAAAAUUGCUUUCUAACAAUUAUAAAAAAAUAUUAUGAAAAUGCUAAAUAAGAGACGUAUUAUUUUCCUAACGGCAUGGGAAAAUUAAAAAUUCUAAUAUGUGGAUUUUAUAUCAAACAUAAAUACGUGGUCCAUUGUACGUUUGCAACAAAACACAAUUACCUAAGUCCCUACUCCAUUUAAGUAAGUGAGUAAUUAACACGCAGGUAAAUAUGGUGGUCAUUUCAUUAGCGUGGCUAUGGGAAUAACCUGGCUGUCUAUUAUACCACAGGGACAUAUUCCUCUGUCUGUGCAUAACACAGAAUCCCCAAACAGAGCCCAGGAUAGGAGAACAACACAGACGUUGAAGAAAAAGUUAGAAAGCAGUUAGAUCUCCUUUACUUUAGAAUUCCUAUUUAGUGAAAUACCUAAGGUCGUAAUGGAACAAAGAAAGAUCAUUAGCAUUAGAAAUUCUAAUGACUUAUUUGUUAAACAGUUUUGUUUACACCUUCUUCACUGUAAGUUAUAUUAAUAAAGCUAUUAGUUAAAUCAAGAAGACAAUACCGUGCGUCACUCAUAUCAAUCAUCAUUGAAGGUUGAAGGCGUAUAAACUAUCGGUUGGUGCUAAUAUUUGUUAUUAAUACUUAAGUAAAAUCUUCUUUUCUAUACUCAAAAUAAAAAUUUUAAAAAACAAUUAUCAAACUAUUAACCGAAAAUCUCCAUCAGGGACACUAUUCGCCGUGUGUCAUCCAUAUCCAUACUUCUAUACUAAUAUUGUUAAUGCGAAAUUCGUAUAUGGUUGUUUAUUACCCCUUAACAGCCACAGAACCGAUCUUCAAUAAAUUUUUUAUACAUU